rnacentral:rRNA from 1 species
AAUCCUGAAUUCGAAAGGGGUUGGAUUCAAGUCCAUCCGGUUGCAUAAACAGGCUGCCUGGCCCCGCGAGAUGGUGCUGGUCGCCCGCGGCGAUUCAUUUCGCUUGUGGUGUCGUUCCCGGCGAUCACUCGUUGGGGUGGCAUGAUCUCUGGCACUGGAGGAGUGCACUUCCCCCCUAGUAGAAACGUCGCGACCCGUUGGGUGCCGGUCUAAGGUCCGGGAUGGCAGACCAUGUGUCCUGAGGGGGAUCCCACAGGCGUGUGGACACCUGGUGACCCGGCUGGCUGCCCGACGGUAUGACCAGAGGAGUCGAUCCGCUGAAUGGGAAACACUGUGGUUGUGUAGCGUCCGGCCUGGUGUCGAUGCGUGCGGGGAAUGAGGUGUAAACCGGGGGUGCCCGUGCGAAGCACGGCCCCGGCCCUGCUGCGUAUUCGAUGCUGGUGUCCUCGGACUGGAUCAGCACUCCCGUCUGCGACGCCCACCUUCGGAUGGUCUCCCG